rnacentral:tRNA from 1 species
GGCUCGGUAGCUUAGUUGGUAAAUCGCUUGUCUAGCAAAAGUCCUGAGUUCGAAUCCCAGCCGAGCAC